AUUCUGCAGAACCGCCUUGAGUAACUCCUGAAUCUGCCACACUGGCUACUGAAACAAACAGGGGGCCUCUUGAUGCAAAGAAAUAACUCGUGAUUACAGAGCUAACAACUUCCCAAGCACGCGCGUGAGCGCUUCCCAACUGAGGAUCUUGGUGCUUUGCAGACACUAAUGGACCAAGGCUCACGACACACUUGUGAAGGAGAGCUUCUCCAAGUAUCUGUUGAAAAUUCCUUGUUCAACUAAAGCUGCUAGAAAGACUGCAGAAUCUUUGGAGAUCACCUAGUUCAACCCCAGCAAGAUCCUGGCAUUUCUCUACUAGACCUAAGCCACCGAGAGCUCAAUAGCCUAACACUGUGCAACGGAAUCGAAGCAAAGCCCUCUCUGCAGCAGCCUAUGGCUAUUUCUCUGCAGCGAUGCACGGAGCUGCGAUGAUUUGAUCCCGUGUCCGUGGUCAUGUUUUGCACUGAAGACAAGUCCCAGGAGCUUAUGGAGGAUCCCGCAUGCACAGCUCUGGUUUCCCAUGCAUCUGCCUCAAGUCUGACCUGAAAAGCUUCCUGCUGUGGUUGCAGAGGCAUGGGCGCUAUUGCUCUGAAAGCCAUCCAAACCUCAGGCUCUGCUCAAACUGCUGAACAAGGAAUGAAACACUGCUUUACAGUGCUUUACUACUUAUUUUCUUCUGCAAAGUAGUCAAAGGAAACAGGCUGACAAGUAAUAAAAGCCAUAACUCUUUCUUCCCGUAAAAAAAAUAGCCCAAAUAUAACAAGUAGACAGGAAAAGACACCAAAUUCCCGCCAAAUAAUUCAUAUACUGAUUGUGCAUUGAGAAUGUGAGUAAGCGGGGACGCUAUUGACCACAUAUGGCUCAUUUUCU